AUUGAACGCUGGCGGCAUGCUUUACACAUGCAAGUCGAACGGCAGCGCGGGCUUCGGCCUGGCGGCGAGUGGCGAACGGGUGAGUAAUACAUCGGAACGUGCCCAGUAGUGGGGGAUAGCUCGGCGAAAGCCGGAUUAAUACCGCAUACGACCUGAGGGUGAAAGCGGGGGAUCUUCGGACCUCGCGCUAUUGGAGCGGCCGAUGGCAGAUUAGCUAGUUGGUGGGGUAACGGCCUACCAAGUCGACGAUCUGUAGCUGGUCUGAGAGGACGACCAGCCACACUGGGACUGAGACACGGCCCAGACUCCUACGGGAGGCAGCAGUGGGGAAUGUUGGACAAUGGGCGAAAGCCUGAUCCAGCAAUGCCGCGUGUGUGAUGAAGGCCUUCGGGUUGUAAAGCACUUUUGGCGGGAACGAAAAGGACUGUGCCAAUACCACGGUUCGAUGACGGUACCCGCAGAAGAAGCACCGGCUAACUACGUG
rnacentral:rRNA from 1 species